AUGAACGCUAGCGGCAGGCUUAACACAUGCAAGUCGAGGGGCAGCAUAAUGGAUAGCAAUAUCUAUGGUGGCGACCGGCGCACGGGUGCGUAACGCGUAUGCAACCUACCUUUAACAGGGGGAUAACACUGAGAAAUUGGUACUAAUACCCCAUAAUAUCAUAGAAGGCAUCUUUUAUGGUUGAAAAUUCCGAUGGUUAGAGAUGGGCAUGCGUUGUAUUAGCUAGUUGGUGGGGUAACGGCUCACCAAGGCGACGAUACAUAGGGGGACUGAGAGGUUAACCCCCCACACUGGUACUGAGACACGGACCAGACUCCUACGGGAGGCAGCAGUGAGGAAUAUUGGUCAAUGGACGCAAGUCUGAACCAGCCAUGCCGCGUGCAGGAUGACGGCUCUAUGAGUUGUAAACUGCUUUUGUACGAGGGUAAACGCAGAUACGUGUAUCUGUCUGAAAGUAUCGUACGAAUAAGGAUCGGCUAACUCCGUGCCAGCAGCCGCGGUAAUACGGAGGAUUCAAGCGUUAUCCGGAUUUAUUGGGUUUAAAGGGUGCGUAGGCGGUUUGAUAAGUUAGAGGUGAAAUUUCGGGGCUCAACCCUGAACGUGCCUCUAAUACUGUUGAGCUAGAGAGUAGUUGCGGUAGGCGGAAUGUAUGGUGUAGCGGUGAAAUGCUUAGAGAUCAUACAGAACACCGAUUGCGAAGGCAGCUUACCAAACUAUAUCUGACGUUGAGGCACGAAAGCGUGGGGAGCAAACAGGAUUAGAUACCCUGGUAGUCCACGCAGUAAACGAUGAUAACUCGUUGUCGGCGAUACACAGUCGGUGACUAAGCGAAAGCGAUAAGUUAUCCACCUGGGGAGUACGUUCGCAAGAAUGAAACUCAAAGGAAUUGACGGGGGCCCGCACAAGCGGAGGAACAUGUGGUUUAAUUCGAUGAUACGCGAGGAACCUUACCCGGGCUUAAAUUGCACUCGAAUGAUCCGGAAACGGUUCAGCUAGCAAUAGCGAGUGUGAAGGUGCUGCAUGGUUGUCGUCAGCUCGUGCCGUGAGGUGUCGGGUUAAGUCCCAUAACGAGCGCAACCCCUACCGUUAGUUGCCAUCAGGUGAAGCUGGGCACUCUGGCGGGACUGCCGGUGUAAGCCGAGAGGAAGGUGGGGAUGACGUCAAAUCAGCACGGCCCUUACGUCCGGGGCUACACACGUGUUACAAUGGCAGGUACAGAGAGACGGUCCCUUGCAAAAUGGAUCAAAUCCUUAAAGCCUGUCUCAGUUCGGACUGGGGUCUGCAACCCGACCCCACGAAGCUGGAUUCGCUAGUAAUCGCGCAUCAGCCACGGCGCGGUGAAUACGUUCCCGGGCCUUGUACACACCGCCCGUCAAGCCAUGGGAGCCGGGGGUGCCUGAAGUUCGUGACCGCAAGGAGCGACCUAGGGCAAAACUGGUGACUGGGGCU
rnacentral:rRNA from 1 species